AGAGUUUGAUCCUGGCUCAGAAUCAACGCUGGCGGCGUGCCUCAGACAUGCAAGUCGAGCGAUUAAAGCUCCCUUCGGGGAGUGUAUAAAGCGGCGUACGGGUGAGUAACACGUAAGUAAUCUACCUUCGAGUGGGGAAUAACACCGAGAAAUCGGUGCUAAUACCGCAUAAUGCAGCGGCACCUAAUGGUGACAGUUGUUAAAGAUUUAUCGCUUGAAGAGGAGCUUGCGGCAGAUUAGCUAGUUGGUAAGGUAAUGGCUUACCAAGGCAACGAUCUGUAUCCGGUCUAAGAGGACGGUCGGACACACUGACACUGAAUAACGGGUCAGACUCCUACGGGAGGCAGCAGUCGGGAAUUUUGGGCAAUGGGCGAAAGCCUGACCCAGCAACGCCGCGUGAAGGAUGAAGUCUUCCGGGAUGUAAACUUCGUAAGAAUAGGAAGAAUAAAUGACGGUACUAUUUGUAAGGUCCGGCUAACUACGUGCCAGCAGCCGCGGUAAUACGUAGGGACCAAGCGUUGUUCGGAUUUACUGGGCGUAAAGGGCGCGUAGGCGGCGUGUUAAGUCACUUGUGAAAUCUCUAAGCUUAACUUAGAACGGUCAAGUGAUACUGAUGUGCUAGAGUGCAGAAGGGGCAACCGGAAUUCUUGGUGUAGCGGUGAAAUGCGUAGAUAUCAAGAGGAACACCGGAGGUGAAGACGGGUUGCUGGGCUGACACUGACGCUGAGGCGCGAAAGCUAGGGUAGCAAACGGGAUUAGAUACCCCGGUAGUCCUAGCCCUAAACGAUGAAUACUUGGUGUCUGGAGUUCUUUUCUCCGGGUGCCGUCGCUAACGUUUUAAGUAUUCCGCCUGGGGAGUACGCACGCAAGUGUGAAACUCAAAGGAAUUGACGGAAGGGCGAAUUCCAG
rnacentral:rRNA from 1 species